rnacentral:rRNA from 1 species
UACGUAGGGAGCAAGCGUUGUCCGGAUUUAUUGGGCGUAAAGAGCUCGUAGGCGGCUUGUCGCGUCGACUGUGAAAUCCCGCGGCUCAACUGCGGGUCUGCAGUCGAUACGGGCAGACUAGAGUGCGGUAGGGGAGACUGGAAUUCCUGGUGUAGCGGUGAAAUGCGCAGAUAUCAGGAGGAACACCGGUGGCGAAGGCGGGUCUCUGGGCCGUAACUGACGCUGGAGGCGCGAAAGCGUGGGGAGCAAACAGG